rnacentral:rRNA from 1 species
AUUGAACGCUGGCGGUAUGCUUAACACAUGCAAGUCGAACGGUAACAGGCCUUCGGGCGCUGACGAGUGGCGGACGGGUGAGUAACGCGUAGGAAUCUGCCUCAGAGUGGGGGACAACUUGGGGAAACUCAAGCUAAUACCGCAUACGCCCUACGGGGGAACGCGGGGGACCUUCGGGCCUCGCGCUCUGAGAUGAGCCUGCGUUAGAUUAGCUAGUUGGUGGGGUAAAGGCCUACCAAGGCGACGAUCUAUAGCUGGUCUGAGAGGACGAUCAGCCACACUGGGACUGAGACACGGCCCAGACUCCUACGGGAGGCAGCAGUGGGGAAUAUUGGACAAUGGGCGCAAGCCUGAUCCAGCAAUACCGCGUGUGUGAAGAAGGCCUGAGGGUUGUAAAGCACUUUCAAUUGGGAGGAAAACCUGUCGGCCAAUACCCGGCAGCUUGACAUUACCUAUAGAAGAAGCACCGGCUAACUCCGUGCCAGCCGCCGCCGUAAGAC